rnacentral:pre_miRNA from 1 species
AUGUAGGGCAAUCUGUCUUUAGGUAGGGAUAAAUUACUCUAAAACAAAAAACAGUCCUAGAUAGUUUUCCCUUCAAGUCAAGUGUCUUGU